AAAAUUAACAACGGCUUCUAACCGUUAAACCCCACUUUCAAAGUGGAAUGACCAAGCGGCAGUUAAUUU
rnacentral:tRNA from 1 species